UUAGGCGAUGAGGUAGGUGAGUCGGUUGGAGUAGAAGCGAUGGAAGGAGGAGAAGCGCCGGGAGCUCCGCUAGGAGUGACGGCAGUGGGAGGAGCAGGUGGAGAAGCCAACGGAGAUUCAGUUGGUGAAGAAGUAGGAGCAGUGGAAGGAGGAACAACAACCGGAGUAGGAGGUGUAGCGGUGGGAGCGGCAGUUGGGGAGACGGUUGGUGCGGAGGUCGGCGACUGAGCAAGAGCAGAUCCUGCAAUCAAUGCGAACAGUAGUACCAUAACCAUGCUUGAAGAUGCCAUUGUUGUUUUGUUUCUCUCUCUUAAAAGCUUUGGAAAAUUCUAGAGAGAGAAAG
rnacentral:lncRNA from 1 species